CACGUAGGGACCAAGCGUUGUCCGGAUUCAUUGGGCGUAAAGAGCUCGUAGGCGGUUCGAUAAGUCGGGUGUGAAACCUCCAGGCUCAACCUGGAGACGCCACCCGAUACUGUCGUGACUAGAGUCCAGUAGGGGAGCGUGGAAUUCCUGGUGUAGCGGUGAAAUGCGCAGAUAUCAGGAGGAACACCAGCGGCGAAGGCGGCGCUCUGGGCUGGAACUGACGCUGAGGAGCGAAAGCGUGGGGAGCGAACAGG
rnacentral:rRNA from 3 species